GCCCCUGUAGCCCAAUAGGACAGAGCACCAGACUUCUAAUCUGUUGGUUGUGGGUUCGAGUCCCACCAGGGGCGCUA
rnacentral:tRNA from 1 species